CCUACGGGAGGCUGCAGUCGAGAAUCAUUCACAAUGGGGGAAACCCUGAUGGUGCGACGCCGCGUGGGGGAAUGAAGGUCUUCGGAUUGUAAACCCCUGUCAUGUGGGAGCAAAUUAAAAAGAUAGUACCACAUGAGGAAGAGACGGCUAACUCUGUGCCAACAGCCGCGGUAAUACAGAGGUCUCAAGCGUUGUUCGGAAUCACUGGGCGUAAAGCGUGCGUAGGCUGUUUCGUAAGUCGUGUGUGAAAGGCGCGGGCUCAACCCGCGGACGGCACAUGAUACUGCGAGACUAGAGUAAUGGAGGGGGAACCGGAAUGCUCGGUGUAGCAGUGAAAUGCGUAGAUAUCGAGAGGAACACUCGUGGCGAAGGCGGGUUCCUGGACAUUAACUGACGCUGAGGCACGAAGGCCAGGGGAGCGAAAGGGAUUAGAUACCCGAGUAGUC
rnacentral:rRNA from 1 species